rnacentral:lncRNA from 13 species
GCCCAAGACAUAAAGUUGCCUGAAAGCUGUGUAGCAAGAAUUCCUGCUCCUGACACAUAGGAUGGUAAUCACAUACAUGAUUGGCUUAAUCAAGAAUCAUGGAUACCUUUCAUACCUCAUCACAAGUUGGAACUAGUGGUCAACAUUGGGACAAUGCAGCCCAAAAUAACAGGGCUGAAUAUUUUCAUGGAGUGAGCAAGACCUGCCAGCAGAGCUCACUGGAGCAGGGAGACAUCCCGUCAUCCUUUUGGCGCCUGACAAAGUACACUUUUUUUCUUCUAAAUAACACUAUAGUAACAUCUUCUGCACAAUGUUACAUUCCUAAUAAGAUUGGUGUUAAGUGGGAAAGAAUCCUAAAGAUGGUCCAAUGGGCAUGGUCUGAAGCCUCUCGUCAUCUCAGUAUGUUGAACCACCUGAUUUCCUGCAGGCUUGAGAUUCAGAUCCUGCUGAACGAUGUUAAGCAGUCGAUUAACCACAUGCAGGGGACGCUGAACACCAUGCAGGGGCAGUGUAUUGAGUUGCAGACUGCCAUAUCUAAGAUCAUCACACCAGCCGAAGUUGCUGUGCAGAGGGAGGGGAUUCUUUCAGCCGCCAGCAUCUAUGCACAGAGGGAGGAGAUCCUCCGAUCAUCAGGCCUCAUCCCGUCACAGAGGAAGGGUAUCCUACAAACAGCCAGUGUCCCUUCACAGAGGGAGGGGAUUCUCUCAGCCGCCAGCAUCAAUGCACAGAGGGAGGAGAUCCUCCGAUCAUCAGGCCUCAUCCCUGCACAGAGGGAGGGGAUCCUCCAAACAGCCAGUGUCACUGCGCAGAGGGAGGAAAUCGUCCCAAUGGCCAGCGUCCCUGUGCACAGGGAGGGGAUUGUCCCAAGGGCUAGUGUCCCUGCUGAGAGGGAGGAGAUCCUCCGAGCAUCAGGCCUCAUCCCUGCACAGAGGAAGGGUAUCCUACAAACAGCCAGUGUCCCUGCACAGAGGGAGAGGGUUCUCCGAGCAGCUAGCAUCACUGCGCAGAGGGAGGAGAUCCUCAGAGCAUCAGGCCUCAUCCCUGCACGGAGGAAGGGGAUCCUCCAAACAGCCAGUGUCACUGCGCAGAGGGAGGAGAUCCUCAGAGCAUCAGGCCUCAUCCCUUUACAUAGGGAGGGGAUCCUCCGAGCAUCAGGCCUCAUCCCUACAAAGAGGGAGGGGAUUCUUCCAGCAGCUUCUAUCACUGCGCAGAAGAAUAAGAUGCUCAGAGCAUCACAACUCACCCCUGCACAAAGGGAGUUGAUCCUCCUGAUGACCAGUGUCACUGCGCAGAGAAAGGGAAUCUUCCCAAAGGCCAGCGUCCCUGCGCACAGGGAGUGGAUCGUCCCAAAGGCUAGUGUCCCUGCAGAGAGGGAGGAGAUCCUCCUCACAGCCAGUGUCCCUGUGAAGAAUGAAAACAAUCAUCCACAACCACCUCCCAUCAUCCCCAUGGUGGCACCACUGUGGAAAUGGGAUGGUGGAGCGUGUAUUCCACCUGUGGAUUUCUAUUCCAAGAGAAGAGAUUGUCUGGGAUCCAACUCUGCACAGAUGGGUUAACAAAACUGAGCCCAAGGCUGAGAACAAGUGUGUACCACCACCUCCACCGAUGGGGACAUAUGGAUAUCAGGGGAACACUGGCAGUGUCCCCAAAGGAGUGAAUCCUUACUCUAUGAAAGCAGGUGAAUAUUGCUUUAGAAUACAUGUGGUUUAACCAAGACUGUGUCAGCCAAUCAUAGAUGUCCCUGGUGAUCUGCUAACACCUUUCCCACUACCAGCAGGUCUAUGGGGCAGCAGAUACCCUACAAUGCAUUUCAAUGAUGGGACAAACUCAAAGCCUCCAAGCCAUGGGCCUGGACUGCUUACUAGACAACUCUCUGGCUUGCUCCCUCCUUCACACUUUGACCUCAUGGCACCAAUGGUUGUGCCACCUGACACUCUACCUUACUGAGGUAUCACUCUGGAAAAUCCUUCCAAAUUGUAUCCAUUCAUCAUUAACUGAGAUUUUACUUGAACAUAGCAAAUGGCUGAAGUAGCAAGAAUGUUUUGAAUGUAUUUUUUGUUUUGUCCAACAGGCCAAUUAACCAGAGUGGAUUUGCCAAACAUAGAUUUUUUCAGUGUUAAAAAACUUCAGCAUGAAAAAAUAUUAAGAGAUGAUUUUUUAAUUAAAUCUCUCCUUUGUGUCCUCAUGUAAUUUGAUGUGUUCUAUCAUCGUUUACAAUGCUUAUUGCUUCUGCAUUGCUUUACGUUACAGACAAGUGUAUAUUAUACACAUAUAUUUUAUUUCAGAAAUGCAUUUUGGAUUUCCUACAUUUACUUACUGUACAGACAAAUAUAUUUUAUACACAUAUAUUUAAAAAAAAUGUUUUUAAUGUAUUCCAUAGACAGAUCUAAAUAUAUUUAGAUGCAUUUUGAAUUUCUACAUGUCAGUAUUUUUACUAUCUGUGUCACGUGUUUAUGCCUAUUUAUGUACAUCCUGUUUACAUCUCACACAGAUGUGGCUUGAAAAGAAGACAACAGUAACAUGUCAGAUAUACACUACUCAAAAAAAUAAAGGGAACACUAAAAUAACACAUCCUAGAUCUGAAUGAAUGAAAUAUUCUUGUUAAAUACUUUUUUUUUUACAUAGUUGAAUGUGCUGACAACAAAAUCACACAAAAAUUAUCAAUGGAAAUCAAAUGUAUCAACCCAUGGAGGUCUGGAUUUGGAGUCACACUCAAAAUUAAAGUGGAAAACCACACUACAGGCUGAUCCAACUUUGAUGUAAUGUCCUUAAAACAAGUCAAAAUGAGGCUCAGUUGUGUGUGUGUGGCCUCCACGUGCCUGUAUGACCUCCCUACAACGCCUGGGCAUGCUCCUGAUGAGGUGGCGGAUGGUCUCCUGAGGGAUCUCCUCCCAGACCUGGACUAAAGCAUCCGCCAACUCCUGGACAGUCUGUGGUGGAGCGAGACAUGAUGUCCCAGAUGUGCUCAAUUGGAUUCAGGUCUGGGGAACGGGCGGGCCAGUCCAUAGCAGCAAUGUCUUC